UACAGAGGUCUCAAGCGUUUGUUCGGAUUCAUUGGGCGUAAAGCGCACGUAGGCGGCGCAGCAAGUCAGGGGUGAAAUCCCGGAGCUCAACUCCGGAACUGCCUUUGAAACUGCAGUGCUAGAAUUCUGGAGAGGCGAGUGGAAUUCCGAGUGUAGAGGUGAAAUUCGUAGAUAUUCGGAAGAACAUCAGUGGCGAAGGCGACUCGCUGGACAGACAUUGACGCUGAGGUGCGAAAGCGUGGGGAGCAAACAGG
rnacentral:rRNA from 1 species